rnacentral:rRNA from 1 species
CAGUAGCCACGGGAAUACGUAGGGUGCAAGCGUUAAUCGGAAUUACUGGGCGUAAAGCGUGCGCAGGCGGCUUUGCAAGACAGAUGUGAAAUCCCCGGGCUCAACCUGGGAACUGCAUUUGUGACUGCAUGGCUGGAGUGCGGCAGAGGGGGAUGGAAUUCCGCGUGUAGCAGUGAAAUGCGUAGAUAUGCGGAGGAACACCGAUGGCGAAGGCAAUCCCCUGGGCCUGCACUGACGCUCAUGCACGAAAGCGUGGGGAGCAAACAGGAUUAGAUACCCGCGUAGUCCCUGUCUCUUAUAC